UACGUAGGGUGCGAGCGUUAAUCGGAAUUACUGGGCGUAAAGCGUGCGCAGGCGGCUUUGCAAGACAGAUGUGAAAUCCCCGGGCUCAACCUGGGAACUGCAUUUGUGACUGCAAGGCUAGAGUACGGCAGAGGGGGAUGGAAUUCCGCGUGUAGCAGUGAAAUGCGUAGAUAUGCGGAGGAACACCAAUGGCGAAGGCAAUCCCCUGGGCCUGUACUGACGCUCAUGCACGAAAGCGUGGAGAGCAAACAGG
rnacentral:rRNA from 1 species